rnacentral:rRNA from 1 species
AUAAUGGGUCAGCGACUUAUAUUCUGUAGCAAGGUUAACCGAAUAGGGGAGCCGAAGGGAAACCGAGUCUUAACUGGGCGUUAAGUUGCAGGGUAUAGACCCGAAACCCGGUGAUCUAGCCAUGGGCAGGUUGAAGGUUGGGUAACACUAACUGGAGGACCGAACCGACUAAUGUUGAAAAAUUAGCGGAUGACUUGUGGCUGGGGGUGAAAGGCCAAUCAAACCGGGAGAUAGCUGGUUCUCCCCGAAAGCUAUUUAGGUAGCGCCUCGUGAAUUCAUCUCCGGGGGUAGAGCACUGUUUCGGCAAGGGGGUCAUCCCGACUUACCAACCCGAUGCAAACUGCGAAUACCGGAGAAUGUUAUCACGGGAGACACACGGCGGGUGCUAACGUCCGUCGUGAAGAGGGAAACAACCCAGACCGCCAGCUAAGGUCCCAAAGUCAUGGUUAAGUGGGAAACGAUGUGGGAAGGCCCAGACAGCCAGGAUGUUGGCUUAGAAGCAGCCAUCAUUUAAAGAAAGCGUAAUAGCUCACUGGUCGAGUCGGCCUGCGCGGAAGAUGUAACGGGGCUAAACCAUGCACCGAAGCUGCGGCAGCGACGCUGAUGCGUUGUUGGGUAGGGGAGCGUUCUGUAAGCCUGUGAAGGUGUGCUGUGAGGCAUGCUGGAGGUAUCAGAAGUGCGAAUGCUGACAUAAGUAACGAUAAAGCGGGUGAAAAGCCCGCUCGCCGGAAGACCAAGGGUUCCUGUCCAACGUUAAUCGGGGCAGGGUGAGUCGACCCCUAAGGCGAGGCCGAAAGGCGUAGUCGAUGGGAAACAGGUUAAUAUUCCUGUACUUGGUGUUACUGCGAAGGGGGGACGGAGAAGGCUAUGUUGGCCGGGCGACGGUUGUCCCGGUUUAAGCGUGUAGGCUGGUUUUCCAGGCAAAUCCGGAAAAUCAAGGCUGAGGCGUGAUGACGAGGCACUACGGUGCUGAAGCAACAAAUGCCCUGCUUCCAGGAAAAGCCUCUAAGCAUCAGGUAACAUCAAAUCGUACCCCAAACCGACACAGGUGGUCAGGUAGAGAAUACCAAGGCGCUUGAGAGAACUCGGGUGAAGGAACUAGGCAAAAUGGUGCCGUAACUUCGGGAGAAGGCACGCUGAUAUGUAGGUGAAGUCCCUCGCGGAUGGAGCUGAA